rnacentral:rRNA from 1 species
UACGUAGGAUCCGAGCGUUGUCCGGAUUUACUGGGUGUAAAGGGUGCGCAGGCGGACUGGUAAGUCAGAGGUGAAAUCUCGUCGCUUAACGACGAAACUGCCUUUGAUACUAUCAGUCUUGAAUCCGGUAGAGAUCUGUGGAAUUCCGAGUGUAGCAGUGAAAUGUGUAGAUAUUCGGAAGAACACCAGUGGCGAAGGCAGCAGAUUGGGCCGGUAUUGACGCUCAGGCACGAAAGCAUGGGGGAUCAAACAGG